rnacentral:rRNA from 1 species
AACGAACGCUGGCGGCAUGCCUAACACAUGCAAGUCGAACGAGACCUUCGGGUCUAGUGGCGCACGGGUGCGUAACGCGUGGGAACCUGCCCUUAGGUUCGGAAUAACUCCCCGAAAGGGGUGCUAAUACCGGAUAAAGUCUUCGGACCAAAGAUUUAUCGCCUUUGGAUGGGCCCGCGUUGGAUUAGCUAGUUGGUAGGGUAAAAGCCUACCAAGGCGACGAUCCAUAGCUGGUCUGAGAGGAUGAUCAGCCACCCUGGGACUGAGACACGGCCCAGACUCCUACGGGAGGAAGCAGUGGGGAAUAUUGGACAAUGGGCGAAAGCCUGAUCCAGCAAUGCCGCGUGAGUGAUGAAGGCCUUAGGGUUGUAAAGCUCUUUUAACCGGGAUGAUAAUGACAGUACCGGGAGAAUAAGCUCCGGCUAACUCCGUG